UGACUUAGCUUUAGCCGCAAGCUUACC
rnacentral:sRNA from 1 species